UGUUUAAUGAGGAAAUUGUUUUUAUGUAAUGACCUGCUCUAUGAUGAAAAAGUACUAUACAUUUGGGAAAUAAGCUGACAAUCAUGUUAUUUAGACACAGGUAUUCAUUGUGAUUUUAUUGUUUUCAAAGAGUUUUUGAAAGCAUACUGUGCUGAAAAUUCACAGAGCACUUUCUUCAGAAACUUAGGACUCUCAGGGGGCUCUUGUACAAAUCCUCCACCGACUGCUUGGUCCAGGCUGUUCAGGGUGAAGGGUUCAUGAGUCUGUACAAAGGCUUUUUACCAUCUUGGCUGCGAAUGACCCCUUGGUCAUUGGUGUUCUGGCUUACUUAUGAAAAAAUCAGAGAGCUGAGUGGAGUCAGUCCAUUUUAAGCCCUUACAGACACAGUGCUCAGUAUUAUUGAAUGUGGGCAUCUGCAACACACACCCCCUAUUAUUUCUACCUCUUUAGGAAGACACUACUCCACUGAGACUAUGAUUUAUAGGGGGCAACACUUUUUUUCCUCUGGAAACCCAAGUUCUCUUUGACUCUUUUUGUCUAAAAGUGAUCUGGUCCGAUCUCACAAGGCCACCCAGUGAGACCCAGCACAGUAUUUGUAAAGAAGAAGGGAACCCUGGCCACUUUCACCUUGACGAGGCGGCCUGGCCUCUGACACCGCUGUGUACGAAGAGCCUUCAGGGAGGAAGAGGAGGCAGUGGGUGCCUGCCUCUCAGAUCUGAGCAGACAUCGGGAUUGUGGAGGAAUAGCUAUCUGUCUAUAUGGAUAUAUACCAGUGCUUCAGAAAUACACCCAGCCUGCUAUGCCAGUAUCUAUAGUUCAAGUUCGAAAACUCACUCUUCUGUUGUUAAAGUGUACGUGUACGUGGUGUAAGCUAAAGGGAGGCAAAUGAGAGUUCAUGAAUAAACAUUUUGAGUUUCCCUAGUGUUGAAGAAAGUCAAUGUGCCUUUUCCUUUUGACCAGGAUGAAUGAAGUCAAGUUGAGAUGAUGUUUGCAUUUCAAGGACAGACAAGUUUGCUGUUCUUGCCGCCUUUAGUGUUGUAUUAAUUGGUCCACACGCUUGCUAACAGUAACUCCCUGACAGCCACAGACUCGGGGGCCUUGGCGGAAGUUUCCCUUACAACUUGGAUUUGAUACCAGCUCGAAGGAUUCCUGAUCCAUAAGAAUUGCAGCUCAUGUGAUCAAAGCUCAGCUGCACGGUUCCUCUUACAAAGGACCUUUCCUUGCCAUCAGCCUUCCAGUGGUAUUUUAAAACAAGAAGGAAGCCAGCUAGCUCUGUGGGUCCUUUCUCAAUUUCAGUCUGAUAAAGCAUGUUGCCUAAAAUGUGAUAAACAGUCUGGUACACAGUCACAUCUCCAACCUUCAAAUUAAAUCCCUUUUCUUAUUUUAGAAAGGUAAGAGAUUCUUCCAGAUUCUCUUGCUCCCCCCAACCUUAACAGUGGGCAUCCUGGAUGGAUGGCAUCAGGUAUGGGUAGAGCCUGAAACUGUUGAAACAGGAAAACUCAGAAGAGCAGGCCCAAGAAAGACGGUGGUGAUAACAAAAUAGAAUUCACAGUGGACAGGGUUGAUGCUGGACAGAAGGUAUCCACAAGUGCUCUGUGACAGCACCAAUGUAUAAUCACUGCCAUUUUCCAAGGGGGAGUAUACUUUAAUAUGUAUUCUAAUGUGCUAUGCUAAUAUUCAGUAGCUUAUCGUUUUUCUAGUUGCAGAAUGUGGAGUUUAAUCUGUUCAAGGCUUUGAAUUGUCUACUUUCCCAUUGUGUUUGUCAAUCUGUAACUAAACUGUCAAAUAUAUUUAAUAUGUAUAUUGUGUGCUUAAAUUCCCAAGUGUUCUGCAUUGAACUGCCUUGUCCCCAAAAGCACUUUGCUUUUUUUAUGUUUUGUAAUUUUUAAAAUUAUGUAAAAACUCAAUCAAAAUAAUUACAUGCAAACUGAACUGUGAAAAACUGAUUUAGCUCUUUUCUUUGGGGUAGGGGGUUGUGGGAUUGAAACAUUGCUUAAAUACUGACACUGUUUCUUGGUAUCUGAAUCAAUGUGAGUAACUGAGAUUUUUACCCUAAAUAAAUGAUUCCCU
ensembl:lncRNA